UAGGAUAGAGGCCUACCAUGGUGGUAACGGGUAACGGGGUGUUAGGGCACGACACCGGAGAGGGAGCCUGAGAAACGGCUACCACAUCCAAGGAUGGCAGCAGGCGCGCAAAUUACCCAAUCCCGACACGGGGAGGUAGUGACAAUAAAUAACAAUACGGGGUUCUUUCGGAUCUCGUAAUUGGAAUGAGUACAAUUUAAAUCUCUUAACGAGGAACAAUUGGAGGGCAAGUCUGGUGCCAGCAGCCGCGGUAAUUCCAGCUCCAAUAGCGUAUAUUAAAGUUGUUGCAGUUAAAAAGCUCGUAGUUGAAUUUCGGGGUUAGUAGGUUGGUCAUGCCUCUGGUAUGUACUGGUCUCACUGAUUCCUCCUUCCUGAUGAACCGUAAUGCCAUUAAUUUGGUGUUGCGGGGAAUUUGGACUGUUACUUUGAAAAAAUUAGAGUGUUUAAAGCAAGCUAACGCUUGAAUACAUUAGCAUGGAAUAAUGAAAUAGGACGUUCGAUCCUAUUUUGUUGGUUUCUAGGAUUGACGUAAUGAUUAAUAGGGAUAGUGGGGGGCAUUAGUAUUCAAUUGUCAGAGGUGAAAUUCUUGGAUUUAUUGAAGACUAACUACUGCGAAAGCAUUUGCCAAGGAUGUUUUCAUUAAUCAAGAACGAAAGUUAGGGGAUCGAAGACGAUCAGAUACCGUCGUAGUCUUAACCAUAAACUAUGCCGACUAGG
rnacentral:rRNA from 1 species